AUUGAACGCUGGCGGCAGGCCUAACACAUGCAAGUCGAACGAGUGGCGGACGGGUGAGUAAUGUCUGGGAAACUGCCUGAUGGAGGGGGAUAACUAAUGGAAACGGUAGCUAAUACCGCAUACCAUCGGAUGUGCCCAGAUGGGAUUAGCUAGUAGGUGGGGUAAAGGCUCACCUAGGCGACGAUCCCAAGCUGGUCGGAGAGGUUGACCAGCCACACUUGUACUGAGCAACGGUCCAGACUCCUACGGUAGGCAGCAGUGGUGAAUAUUGCACAAUGGGUGCAAGCCUGAUGCAGCCAUGCCGCGUGUAUGAAGAAGGCCUUCGGGUUGUAAAGUACUUUCAGCGGGGAGGCGUUACCCGCAGAAGAAGCACCGGCUAACUCCGUGCCAGCAGCCGCGGUAAUUC
rnacentral:rRNA from 1 species